rnacentral:rRNA from 1 species
AUUGAACGCUGGCGGCAUGCCUUACACAUGCAAGUCGAACGGUAACGGGCCUUCGGGUGCCGACGAGUGGCGAACGGGGGAGUAAUACAUCUGAACGUGCCCGAUCGUGGGGGAUAACGAGGCGAAAGCUUUGCUAAUACCCCAUACGAUCUACGGGUGAAAGCAGGGGACCGCAAGGCCUUGCGCGGACGGAGCGGCCGAUGGCAGAUUAGGUAGUUGGUGGGAUAAAAGCGUACCAAGCCGACGAUCUGUAGCUGGUCUGAGAGGAUGAUCAGCCACACUGGAACUGAGACACGGCCCAGACUCCUACGGGAGGCAGCAGUGGGGAAUUUUGGACAAUGGGCGCAAGCCUGAUCCAGCCAUGCCGCGUGCAGGAUGAAGGCCUUCGGGUUGUAAACUGCUUUUGUACGGAACGAAAAGCAUUAUUUUAAUACAGGAGGGUCAUGACGGUACCGUAAGAAUAAGCACCGGCUAACUACGUG